rfam:Salmo salar isolate Sally breed double haploid chromosome ssa13, whole genome shotgun sequence.
UCCCGUGUAGCUCAGUUGGUAGAGCAUGGUGCUUGUUACGCCAGGGUUGUGGGUUUGAUUACCACGGGGG